rnacentral:ribozyme from 1 species
AUAUAUAUAUAUAUAUAUAUAUAUAUAUAUAAACCUUUUAAGCCGGGAAAAGAAUAGAAAUUAACUUUCAAUCGGGUUCAUCCUACAUGAAUCAUGGAUCU